rnacentral:misc_RNA from 1 species
UACAGAGGUCUCAAGCGUUGUUCGGAUUCAUUGGGCGUAAAGGGUGCGUAGGUGGCAAGGUAAGUCAGAUGUGAAAUCCCCGGGCUCAACCUGGGAACUGCAUUUGAUACUGCCGUGCUCGAGUGCUGGAGGGGAGACUGGAAUUCACGGUGUAGCAGUGAAAUGCGUAGAUAUCGUGAGGAAGACCGGUGGCGAAGGCGAGUCUCUGGACAGCAACUGACACUGAGGCACGAAGGCUAGGGGAGCAAACGGG